rnacentral:rRNA from 1 species
CAAUAGCGUAUAUUAAAGUUGUUGCGGUUAAAAAGCUCGUAGUUGGAUUUCUGCCGAGGACGACCGGUCCGCCCUCCGGGUGAGUAUCUGGUUUGGCCUGGGCAUCUUCUUGGAGAACGUAGCUGCACUUGACUGUGUGGUGCGGUGUCCAGGACUUUUACUUUGAGGAAAUUAGAGUGUUUCAAGCAGGCACACGCCUUGAAUACAUUAGCAUGGAAUAAUAAGAUAGGACCUCGGUUCUAUUUUGUUGGUUUCUAGAGCUGAGGUAAUGAUUAAUAGGGAUAGUUGGGGGCAUUCGUAUUUAACUGUCAGAGGUGAAAUUCUUGGAUUUGUUAAAGGCGGACUACUGCGAAAGCAUUUGCCAAGGAUGUUUUCAUUGA